CCCUUUCAGCACCUGACUUGUGAUGUAUUGUCUCGGGCCGCACUGCAAGCCAACACUUAUUUUGUAGACUGCAGAACAUGAACUUCAGGGGAACAGAAAAGAAAGAAAUUCAAUAGCAACCAUCAAACUCAGUACACAUCACAACAAUGAUGAUGAUCAUCGCUCCCUGCUUCCAGCUUGUGGUCCAAAGAGUCGGUGUGCAGCGCGAAUAUUUCAUAUAUGCGAAUAUGCAAAUAUUUGGGAAUAUCGGCACUUCCAGAGGACACUGAUCCCUCCCUUCUUUUAGGAGAAGAACACCACCGGGGAAUCAAAGCAGAACAUUGUGGUUUUGGCUCCUCGGCAGACGCGUAGACUACGGGCGGACUCCAUCCACAGUCACUAACUCGAGACAUUCUGAUAAUUAAAAUACACUUAAUAGCAGAAUUGUCAUUUUUUCCCCCCAAUGGCUGGAAGGCUUAUUCCUGUAUAAACGAAAAUGAUGUAGAAUCCCAGAGAGCGAAGAGACGACUCCGCAACUUAAUGUAACUUCUGUCCACUUCAGAACAAAUCAACUUUAUUCUUGUAUAAUUAUGCGUUUCCGUCUAAUAGAUAUUUUGUGUUUUACAAUAUUUUUCCGAGUCAGUGGUGAGAAAAAUAUACAUAAUGGAGACAUUUAUCUCCCAAUCUCUCCCGGAAAGUAUACACCUCCUCCCCCGCUCCCUCUAAACCAAUUUAGGAGACUUGUUUAAAAAGAUUUUUUUUUUCGUCUUCUUCUGUGAAGACGAUUGUUGUUUUCUUUUAUAGUCAGAAUUUAUUGUAGUAAUAAUCCUCUAUAUCCUGCUUCACUUUAUAUCACAAUACAGGCUGCAUUCUAAAACUUACUAACUUAUCCAAUAUACUUUUGGGUCAAAAUUAUUUGUGCAAAACUAUGUCCAAUCAAAAAUAAUUGUAGACAUAUAAAAAAUAUGUCCAUAAGGAUUCAUUUAAUUGGGAUUUUCAUGAAACAUAUUUUUUUUAUUGAAGAAGGUUGCCGAGGUAAAGCAAUACAAAUCUCAAUUUUAAGUAUAAUAAAGUCAGAGAUAAUACAGGGGGAAA